UACGGAGGGUGCAAGCGUUGUCCGGAUUUAUUGGGUUUAAAGGGUGCGUAGGCGGCCUGUUAAGUCAGGGGUGAAAGACGGUAGCUCAACUAUCGCAGUGCCCUUGAUACUGAUGGGCUUGAAUUGACUAGAGGUAGGCGGAAUGUGACAAGUAGCGGUGAAAUGCAUAGAUAUGUCACAGAACACCGAUUGCGAAGGCAGCUUACUAUGGUCUUAUUGACGCUGAGGCACGAAAGCGUGGGGAUCAAACAGG
rnacentral:rRNA from 1 species